AUUGAAAGCUGGCGGCAGGCCUACCACAUGCAAGUCGAACGAGUGGCGGACGGGUGAGUAAUGUCUGGGAAACUGCCUGAUGGAGGGGGAUAACUACUGGAAACGGUAGCUAAUACCGCAUACCAUCGGAUGUGCGCAGAUGGGAUUAGCUAUUAGGUGGGGUAAAGGCUCACCUAGGCGACGAUCCAUAGCUGGUCUGAGAGGAUGAGCAGCCACACGGGAACGGAGACACUGUGCAGACUCCAGCGGGACGCAGCAGUGGGGAAUAUGGCAGUGGGGGCGCAGGCUUGAGGCAGUGAUGCCGCGGGUAGGAAGAAGGCCGUAGGGUUGGAAAUUCCGUUCAGCGGGUGGGCGUUUCCCGCAUAAGAAGCACCGGCUAACUCCGGGCCAGCAGCCGCGGUAAUUC
rnacentral:rRNA from 1 species